rnacentral:rRNA from 1 species
UGAGUAAUGUCUGGGAAACUGCCUGAUGGAGGGGGAUAACUACUGGAAACGGUAGCUAAUACCGCAUAACGUCGCAAGACCAAAGAGGGGGACCUUCGGGCCUCUUGCCAUCAGAUGUGCCCAGAUGGGAUUAGCUAGUAGGUGGGGUAAUGGCUCACCUAGGCGACGAUCCCUAGCUGGUCUGAGAGGAUGACCAGCCACACUGGAACUGAGACACGGUCCAGACUCCUACGGGAGGCAGCAGUGGGGAAUAUUGCACAAUGGGCGCAAGCCUGACGCAGCCAUGCCGCGUGUGUGAAGAAGGCCUUCGGGUUGUAAAGCACUCUCAGCGAGGAGGAAGGUGGUGAGCUUAAUACGCUCAUCAAUUGACGUUACUCGCAGAAGAAGCACCGGCUAACUCCGUGCCAGCAGCCGCGGUAAUACGGAGGGUGCAAGCGUUAAUCGGAAUUACUGGGCGUAAAGCGCACGCAGGCGGUUUGUUAAGUCAGAUGUGAAAUCCCCGGG